rnacentral:antisense_RNA from 1 species
UACCAACAACAACUUUUUUAUUUUCAUAUUUACUCUUAUGAGUAAAUACUCCUUUCCCCACUCAUUCAUUUGAGUGGGGUUUUUCU